ACAACAAACCAAACCCUCCUGUUGCUCCCACAACUCCCCCUAGCACCAGCCCUACCUCCCCAUCCCCCAAAUCUCCAUCUCCUCAGUACCCUCAUCACCCUCCUGGGACCUCACCAUCACCAGCAUCAGUGGCUAACCCUCCAGCCACCUCACCAUCACCAGUAGUGGCUAGCCCUCCUGCCACCUCCCCAUCACCAGUGGGCUACCCUCCUGCCACCUCCCCAUCGCCAGUGGGCUACCCUCCUGCCACCUCACCAUCACCAGUGGGCUACCCUCCUGCCACCUCACCAUCACCAGUGGGAUACACUCCUGCCACCUCACCAUCCCCAUCAACAACAACAUCUCCAGCGCUAGCGCCAGGUCCAUCUUCAUCCCUUACACCAUUUCCUUCUCCACCCUCACCGCCCCCCGAGGGGCCCACACCGCCCUCCGAGGGGCCCACACCGGCCCCGUCCGCAGAGUCUGCGGGCCCCACACCACCGGGAACCGUUUCUCCGCCGCCCGGGACAGCGGACUCGACGGCUCCGAGACCGGCGGGGAGUGGAGCGUCGCAUAGUGUAACGGCUCCUUCGAGCGUGCUGGUGUCU
rnacentral:lncRNA from 1 species